AAGUCGUAACAAGGUUUCCGUAGGUGAACCUGCGGAAGGAUCAUUAAUGAAAGCUUCGGCUAUCAUGUUUUUUAUACAAAACCCCCAAUUGUUGAUCUUAACACCCUCUGUUGCUUCCACUGUGGUGGUUUUUAUAUACCUACUACGGUGGAUGGUCUACAUCAAAAACCUUUUUUUAUGUUUUUUCCUGUCUGAAAUGUAUGAAAAUGUUAAAUCAUUAAAAACUUUCAACAACGGAUCUCUUGGCUCCU
rnacentral:misc_RNA from 1 species